rnacentral:lncRNA from 1 species
AAGUAUUUUCUUAGCGAGACCAAGAUCCUUCAUUUCAAAUUCUGAUUUUAAUUUGUGUUUGAUAUCAUCAAUUUCAAAUUUAUUAGCACUAGCAAGAAGCAUAUCAUCAACAUAAAGCACAAGAUACAAUGAAUCUUUCUCCACAUCCUUUACAAUAAAGACAUGUAUCAUAAUUGCUUCUACUAAACCCAAGUUUCAAGACAAAUGAAUCAAAUCUUUUAUACCAUUGUCUUGGAGCUUGUUUUAGGUCAUAUAAUGAUUUUUUUAACAAACACACAGUUUUUUCAGGAUUUCCUUUAAUAAAUCCUAGAGGCUGUCUCAUGUAGAUCACUUCAUCCAAUUCACCAUACAAGAAUGCAAUUUUUACAUCUAGUUGAUCAAGUUUCCAUUUAAAUUGCACAACUAAAGCUAGAAUACCUCUUAUAGUUGUAUAUUUAACCACGGGAGAAAAAAUCUCAUCAUAGUCCACACCCUCUUUUGUGUGAAACCCUUGGCAACUAGUCUUGCUUUGUAUCUAACAUUAUUAGUGCCACCUUUCCCUUCCUUUAUUUUAUAAAUCCACUUGCAAUCAACUAGUUUCUUAUCAUUAGGUUUGUCAACCAAUUCCCAAGUUUCAUUCUUGUAUAAGGAAGACAUUUCUUCUUCCAUAGCACUCAACCACCGCUUAGAAUCUUUAGAUCUCAAGGCUUCAUGAUAGGAACUAGGUUCAGAUUCAAUUUCUUCUUGGUAAGUGAACAAAGACACAAAGUCAUCACUAUUGAACCUAGCCGGUGGUCUAAUUUGCCUCCUAUCCCUGUCUCUAGUAAGCUGGUAUUCAUCUAGAGUUAUAUUUAUGUCAUCACAUAAAUCAGGUUCGACCAAAUCAGGCUCAUUCUCAUUCUGGUCAGCCUCAUUAGUUGCUGCUUCUAAGGGGACAGAACUGGUAUUAUCAAUUUUAAUAGGCUCCACCUCAAUUUGGACAUCAUUUUCAGUCAAAUUCUCCUUUUUUCCUUCCAAACAUGGCAUACAUGAUUCAUUAAAGAUCACAUCCAUUCUUAUGAUAACCCUGUAACCUUUUUCCCCAUAAACCCACAACCUGUAACCUUUAACAUUUUCAACAUAGCCCAAAAACAC